AAGUCGUAACAAGGUUUCCGUAGGUGAACCUGCGGAAGGAUCAUUACAGAGUUCGUGCCCUUCGGGGUAGACCUCCCACCCUGUGUAUACCUACCAUUGUUGCUUUGGCGGGCGCGCAAGCUCCCGCCAAAGGACCUCAAACCCUGCCAUAGCGUGUCGUCUGAGUACUAUAUAAUAGUUAAAACUUUCAACAACGGAUCUCUUGGUUCUG
rnacentral:misc_RNA from 1 species